AUUGAACGCUGGCGGCAGGCCUAACACAUGCAAGUCGAACGAUUGGCGGACGGGUGAGUAAUGUAUGGGAAACUGCCUGAUGGAGGGUGAUAACUACUGGAAACGGUAGCUAAUACCGCUUACCAUCAGAUUUGCCCAGAUGGUAUCAGCCUGUUGGUGGGGUAACGGCUCACCAAGGCGACGAUCCCUAGCUGGUCUGAGAGGAUGACCAGCCUCAUCGGAACUGAGACACGGUCCAGACUCCUAAGGGAGUGAGCAGUGGGGAAUAUUGGACAAUGGGCGCAAGCCUGAUGCAGCCAUGCAGCGUGUAUGAAGAAGGCCUUCGGGUUGUAAAGUACUUUAAGAGGGGAGGCGUUACCCGCAGAAGAAGCACCGGCGAACUCCGUGCCAGCAGCCGCGGUAAUAC
rnacentral:rRNA from 1 species